rnacentral:rRNA from 1 species
AUGAGUACCUGUAAAAAGGCCAGGGCGGAAUCUACAUCUGUUGUGAGUUCAGACAGACUGAGCAGUCUACCUCCAGAGAUAAAGGGCGACAUCCUCUCCCGUCUGAAUGUCGAAGAAGCGGUUAGGACUAGCACCUUAUCAAGUACUUGGAGGGAUGCAUGGACUAAUAUGCCAAAAACAUUUCUGCGCGAUGGAAAUUUUGCAAGAACCAAGUUCGUCACAUUAGUCGAUAUGGUGCUAUCACUCCACAAGGGAACUGUAGAGAAGUUUGAUAUUUCAGGUAGCAAACCUUACCAUGACGAGUUCGGCAGCUUGCCCCGGGUAUUCCAAGGUUUCAAGAGAUUAACUCGCCUCAGACUGAACAAUUUCUCAUCUACAAACAUGGACAUGCAAAAUUUGGUCUCGUUCUGCCCCGCACUGCGUUCUUUGAGACUAACUUAUUUUGAGGGCAUUAACCAUCUAACCGUUCAAGCUCCUAAACUGAAACUUCUUUAUGUCAUUGGGGACGUUGAAAUUAAUUUGGAUGCACCUGAUUUGGAGGUGGCUCUCUUAAUGCAUCACAAAGCUACAGCACCUCAUUCUGAUCCAAUUGCGCUUCACAAGGAAAGCUAUGUCAAGCAGUUAUUGGGAAGCCUAAGUGACAUCAAAAGCUUUGCAAUUAGCGGCUUUUUGCUGAGGUAUUUAUCAAAAGGUUGCAUGCUUACGAAGCUCCCAGCCCUGUUUGCUCGCCUGGAGAAUAUUUAUCUUGCGAUAUGCUUUUUGGACCGGCGGCAAUUCUUGGCCGCUUGUUCGUUGUUUCAGAAUGCCCCUAACUUAAAGACGCUUGAUGUCGUUCCAAGUCACUCUUCGAACACAUGGGACCAGGAUCAGGCGAGGAUUAAAGACUUCACCGUGCAAGUGCAAUUGGAUCAUCUCGUAACGGCCAGUGUGCAAGGUUUCAGGGGUCUGGCCUGCGAAGUCGAUUUCGUGGCAAAGCUACUGAGCUGGGCACCAGCUCUGGAAGAACUGAAGAUAGAGUGGAAAGGCAAAACAGAGUGCAGCAUGGUUCUUGCCAAGCUAUUAGCUCUGCCGAGGGUGUCUCCCAGGGCCAAGGUCAUUGUGACAUUUUGA